GUCCCUGUGGAUAGCUCAGUCGGUAGAGCACGAGACUCUUAAUCUCAGGGUUGUGGGUUCGAGCCCCACCUUGGGCA